UAGUAACAUUGUAGGUCAAAUAUAAGUACUAAGUAUAUACCUAAUAAUAACUUAAAUGACAUAUAAAAUAGAUGGAUUUCUCCUUAAAUAACAAAAGAAUAUAAACAUUAAAAUAUGUGAAUAGAUUCAAAAGAAAUUAUAAAAUAACAUAAAAUUAAUAGUAUACAUAAACUAAAAUUACAAAUAGUAUACAAAAUAUUAAAAUGGCAGAAUAAAAGGAAAAAGAUUAUAAUAAUGGUUUUUAGAACAAAAUUCAAUUAUCAAAGCAACUCAAAGUAUUCAAAGCAAAUAAUCAAGCAUGUAAAAGAAAAUGAAUGUGCAGUGAAUAAAAAAACGAGGAUAAAAAACUUAAUUAAAACAAAAUUGAAACAAGAGGAACAAUUUACAAAUAAAAUAAUCGUAAAUAGGAUCAAUGUGCAAUGCGCACAAAUGUGCGAGGACUAGAAUUGGAAAUACCCCGAGCCCAAAACGCUGCUCUGUACUGCGAACCAAAAUGAAAAUGCGCACAAAUUAUAGAGCCAAAUUUAAGAAACAAAGUAAAACAAAUAGGGCACAAUUGAAGGCUCGCGCGAAGGAAAGGAUCUAACGCGCAAAUAUCCAUUCUCCGCAGAAACACGCAGGUCCUAGGGGUAAAGGGUCAGAUCGGGUCGAGUAUAACUAAUACGACACCGUUUUGGGAGCCACUGAAACAGGCUCAAAACGGCACCGUUUUUGGUCCUUUAAAAUGCCUAAAACCAGCCUCCUUCAACCGAAUCAACCUCAGCCCCCUUUCUUCUCAACUAGCAAGCCCUAAAUCUUUUCUUUCAUACACUGAUCCACCACCAUGAAUGGCAACCGGUGGUUUCCGGGCUUCAAAGAGUUGAUUUUUAGCCAUGAGAUCCCCUUUUAGACUUCAAUUUCAACGAAGCAAAAAAGAAUCGCUAGCCCAUUCGUAAGGUAAAUUUCCUUUUCCAUUUUUUUCUUUUAUUUUCUAAAUGUAAUGGUGGAAGAUUUGAGGAAGUAAAUCACCAGGAAAAGAGAACAAAGAAAAAAAAAUCAAAGAAAGACUCAAACAAAUCAAAAACAGAAAUCACCUUUCUAUGGCUUUUGGAAAUGCUCUCUUUUUGUAUUUCAGUGCGUGUAGUAUGCGUAAGUCUUUUGCAGGUACAUUCAAUGGCUUUUUAUAGCCAAUUUACAGAGUAAAUAAAAAUAAAAUUACAUUUUAUUGCUGUCAUUUGCUGUAAAUUCUGUUAUUCCCCUUCUCCCAUGUUCUUUUGCAAGAGCAUCCGUACAGGAGCACGAAGAAGGGCGCGUGUGAAAGAGGCCGUGCUUGGGACCGUUCCUGGGGAGCCCAAUCCUAGCUGGCUACUGGUGACUUCCAGAAGCUUCCGGCCUGGGCUCUAUGAGCCUACUUCGAGAAUAAGCGGCCAUGAGUGCAGACUACUGCUGCGGCACCGAUCAGCAACUAGGGUUAGGGUUAGGGUUAGUCUUAGAUUGGGCCUUUGGGGUUAUUGGGUUAAGGACUUUGGGCAUAAUUAUUGGGCUGCAAUAGAUUUGGUUUAGUUUAAUAAUUGGGCUUAUAUAUAUAUUAGGAUUGUAAAUGGACAUUAAUUUAUUUUGGGGCUGUUUAAUGUUUUUGUUGCUUUUUUUUAUUUUGGGGUUUUUAUAUUUAUUUUGGUUUAUAAUGGGUCGGGCGAAUUGGGCCUAUUACAAUUAGUAUACCUAUUUAUUUUAAGAUAUUAUAUAAAUUACACUUUAUAAAUGAAUAAACAAAUAAAACUCUGAAUAUUAAAUAUUUAAUAAUAUACUGUACAUGUUACAAUGCAUUUUUUAAAAAAAUAAAGAAAAAGAAAUGUGACCAUUAUAGUAUGAUAUAUACUCUAUAGUACAAACAAAUGUACUCAUACUUUAUAGUUUACUAUUUCUAAUGUUUGAGCCGUUUUUAUGGACUGUAGGCGGCCAACACGAUUUGGUCGGAAACAAGUGAAUAUAUUAUGGAUAAAGUAUUGUAGAGGUAACUAAAUUGCAGUUUUUUUUAGUAGGUGGA
rnacentral:lncRNA from 1 species